rnacentral:lncRNA from 1 species
CCCAUCUUAUAAAAUUGCUGACACCCAAUUUGGACAUAUGGAGCAGUGAUCUGCUGAUCUCAAUGUCCAGGCUUGUCCUACAGGAAAGGACAAAAUGUGGGAGUAGACCCUCUCUCCUGGAGAUAGCAAAUCACCCAGACCCAGCCUUGCCUCUCCACAGGUUGACAAGGAGAGCAGGUGUCACAAUCUUUCUUCCCCUUGCCAACAUUUCCUGGGAAGUAUCCCCACUAAAUCCUGGCCCUAAGUACACACACACACAAAAAAAAAAAUUCAGGAACUCUUGUGACCUUACACACCAAGAUGACAAUCACAAAAAAGAUACACUUUGAAAAUGGUGCAAGACUCAGCACUGGUUACACAAAGAUAAAUUAUCAAAGAACAAAGUAUAACAGUCUUACCUGCUGGGUGGUGGUGGGUCAUGCCUUUAAUCCCAGCACUUGGGAGGCAGAGGCAGGCGGAUCUCUGUGAGUUCGAGGACACAGAGAAACACUGUCUUGAAAAACAAAAACAAAAAAAAAAUCAAACAAACAAACAAAGUUUUACCCAUCAGUGGACCCUGCAUCUUACAAUACCAACCUUUCAGGUAAGACCUGCCUAUUAGUACAAUAGUGGCAUAACUAUUGUGAUAGUAACCAACCACUUUCUGGUUGUAUCUCAGACCCAUUCUACAAGGAAUUCAUUUCUGGUACUGUGUUCCUGGUCAAAGACUCACAGCUACAGAGGUCUUAAGCCUUGAGUGAACCUACUUUUGUUUUGCUAAAUAGACAUAUUAAAACAGUCUCCUAUUUAUGUUCAUACCCAUAGACUGUGCUUCUCUCGGCCUUGACUAGAUAAGCUUCUUUUAGCAAUGAACAACAAAAAUUCAUGGCUUAAGGUGCUAAGAAUUAGUGACUAUUGAAGAGUCAUUGUAGUUUGUAGUAGCCAUGCUCCAGCAUUAGCUCCAUCCAUGUUCAUGGGGGCAGCCUUCAUUAAAUUCAGUGGGUCACAAAACAACAAAAAGACAUGAAAGUGGGAGGGGAAAUUAUUGGCAGGAAGGGGAAGUUGACAGAGUAGAAGGUAUAGUUGGUUUUUUUACUCUUUACUCUUUGGGGGCCCACCACCCAGCUCCCAAAUAAAUACAGAGAUGUAUUUUUAUGAAUGCCUGGCCUUAGCUUGACUUGUUUCUAGCUAGCUUUUCUAACUUAACUAAUUAACCCAUUUCUCUUCUUCUACAUUUUGCCUCUGGGCUUUUUGCUUUUCUUGAUUCUGUAUGUCUUUCUUACUUUCUUACUCCUUGGCUCUUUGUGUGGUUGGGUGGCUGGCCCCUGGCAUACUCCUCUCCUUCUCCUUUUCUCACUCUUCCCUCUUCUCCUGAUCUUUUCUCAAGAUCACAUUUCUCCUAUUAUUAAUUCUCUCUGCCUAUCAGCCCUGCAGAUUCCUCUCCUGCCUAGCUAUUGGCUGUUCAGCUCUUUAUUAGACCAAUCAGGUGCUUUAGACAGGAAAAG